AACGAACGCUGGCGGCAGGCUUAACACAUGCAAGUCGAGCGCCCCGCAAGGGGAGCGGCAGACGGGUGAGUAACGCGUGGGAACGUACCCUUUGCUACGGAACAGCUCCGGGAAACUGGAAUUAAUACCGUAUGUGCCCUACGGGGGAAAGAUUUAUCGGCAAAGGAUCGGCCCGCGUUGGAUUAGCUAGGUGGUGGGGUAAUGGCCUACCAAGGCGACGAUCCAUAGCUGGUUCGAGAGGAUGAUCAGCCACAUUGGGACUGAGACACGGCCCAAACUCCUACGGGAGGCAGCAGUGGGGAAUAUUGGACAAUGGGCGCAAGCCUGAUCCAGCCACGCCGCGUGAGUGAUGAAGGCCUUAGGGUUGUAAGGCUCUUUCACCGGAGAAGAUAAUGACGGUAUCCGGAGAAGAAGCCCCGGCUAACUUCGUGCCAGCCGCCGCAGUAACAC
rnacentral:rRNA from 1 species